UACGUAGGCAGCGAGCGUUGUUCGGAGUUACUGGGCGUAAAGGGUGCGUAGGCGGUUGUUUAAGUUUGGUGUGAAAUCUCCCGGCUCAACUGGGAGGGUGCGCCGAAUACUGAAUGACUAGAGUGCGGGAGAGGUGAGUGGAAUUCCCAGUGUAGCGGUGAAAUGCGUAGAUAUUGGGAGGAACACCAGUGGCGAAGGCGGCUCACUGGACCGGAACUGACGCUGAGGCGCGAAAGCGUGGGGAGCAAACGGG
rnacentral:rRNA from 1 species